UCGAACGCGAAAGAAACCUUCGGGUUUCAAGUAGAGUGGCGUCCGGGUGAGUAACACGUAGGUAAUCUACCUUUGGGUGGGGAAUAACGCAGGGAAACUUGCGCUAAUACCGCAUAAUGUAGCGGCACCACAUGGUGACAGUUGUUAAAGCGGGGGAUUUUCGAACCUCGCGCCUAAAGAGGAGCCUGCGGCGGAUUAGCUAGUUGGUAGGGUAACGGCUUACCAAGGCGACGAUCCGUAACCGGCCUGAGAGGGCGGUCGGUCACACUGACACUGACAUACGGGUCAGACUCCUACGGGAGGCAGCAGUCGGGAAUUUUGGGCAAUGGGCGAAAGCCUGACCCAGCAACGCCGCGUGAAGGAUGAAAUCCUUCGGGAUGUAAACUUCGCAAGAAUGGGAAGAAUGAGCGAGUACUAAUACUGCUCGUGAUGACGGUACCAUUUGUAAGCUCCGGCUAACUCCGUGCCAGCAGCCGCGGUAAUACGGGGGGAGCAAGCGUUGUUCGGAUUUACUGGGCGUAAAGGGCGCGUAGGCGGUCAGCACAAGUCAGUUGUGAAAUCUCCGGGCUUAACUCGGAAAGGUCAACUGAUACUGUGCGACUAGAGUGCAGAAGGGGCAACUGGAAUUCUCGGUGUAGCGGUGAAAUGCGUAGAUAUCGAGAGGAACACCUGCGGCGAAGGCGGGUUGCUGGGCUGACACUGACGCUGAUGCGCGAAAGCCAGGGGAG
rnacentral:rRNA from 1 species